GUAGGUGGCAAGCGUUGUCCGGAAUUAUCGGGCGUAAAGCGCGCGCAGGCGGUUCUUUAAGUCUGAUGUGAAAGCCCACGGCUCAACCGUGGAGGGUCAUUGGAAACUGGAGAACUUGAGUACAGAAGAGGAAAGCGGAAUUCCACGUGUAGCGGUGAAAUGCGUAGAGAUGUGGAGGAACACCAGUGGCGAAGGCGGCUUUCUGGUCUGUAACUGACGCUGAGGCGCGAAAGCGUGGGGAGCAAACAGGGAUUAGAUACCCUGGUAGUCCACGCCGUAAACGAUGAGUGCUAAGUGUUAGGGGGGUUUCCGCCCCCUUAGUGCUGCAGCUAACGCAUUAAGCACUCCGCCUGGGGAGUACGGCCGCAAGGCUG
rnacentral:rRNA from 1 species